UGGUGGUAUUUCGAGUCCAAUGACACGGCUCGGUGAAUUCCUCGAUUCGUGGCUAUUGUGUUCCUAAUCUGGCGCAUCAUCACGACUGCUGGAAGGAAUGUAAUGAAAUCUACGGAGUAGCCGAGUGGAUUCUGAAGAUUUAUCUAGUCGUAGCUCUGGAGAGAUUCCUAACACCUUUAUCCGAAUCCAAUAAAGGUGUGGAAAAUGAACAUAAGGUCGAUGGAAUGGAUCGCUGGAGCACGAGAGAAAGAGAGGAGAAAGCAGCCUUGCUUAUGAGAAAUUGAACAUGAGGAUGAAAUUGCUUUGGAGAGGAAGAUCAUAGAAACAGAGUGCGGGAUAAGGAAAACCUCAAGAGGAGCCAUGAGAAGUUGGUGCCCUAGACUUUUCUCUCGAUUACGUCGUAUGGGACAUCUCUGCACAUAAGGUGUAUGCUGCCAAACCGACAUCUUUCUAGACUCUUAUGUACAUGUUUGGCCAGGAUGCUUUGUAUAAAUAUUGCAAGUUUUGUCUCUUAGACAAGCAACUCAGCAUUGCUUGAAACAUCGCAUCAAAGAUUGUCUUGAUUCCUAAGUUCUUCAAUCUAGAAUGUCGGAUCUCUUGUGCCAUGGCACAUCUAUCUUGCGGGAUCUGCUAAUAUUUAUUCUUGUCUCGAUUACUCUUCUAUUA